CGCCACAUGCAGGCCAGUAAAAGUGCUUUCGAACAAUUUCACGUCGAAAUAUUAGCGAAGUCAUGUCUUCCUCGAAGAUUUCGUUGGACAAGGAAGCGUUUUUUCGACGCGCCAAGAAAAUAUACAGCGCUUGGAAGGCUUCGUCCUCGGAGAACGGGGCAUCGUUUAGCGAAGUGGAUUCGAUCGUCGUUGCUGUUGGAAACGAUGAAGAUGUUAUUUACAGCAAAUCGACAGCUUUACAUCAAUGGCUGUUUGGUUAUGAGCUAACAGACACACUGAUGGUGUUUGCGGAGUCAUCUCUUGCAGUUCUCGCAAGCAAAAAGAAAAUCGAUUUCCUCAAGCCACUGCAAGAAGCACAAAAGAAACAUGAAGGAUUUCCUUCAAUAAAUCUGCUUCUGAGAGACAAGGUUGACAAAGAUAAAACCAAUAUCCAGAAACUUAUCGAGAUCAUCAAGGAAAGCAAAAAGGGCAAGAAUGUUGGAGUUUUUCAAAAGGAUAAUUUUCGCAGUGAAUUUAUCGACACUUGGAGUAACAGUUUCAAGAAGAACUCAUUUGAAAAGGUUGACAUAAGUGCCCACAUAGCAUAUGCCAUGGCCGCAAAGGAAGAUACUGAAUUGAGUCAUGUGAGGAAAGCUGCUUUGGUGUCAUCAGAUAUUUUCAGCAAGUUCUUCAAAGCUCAUAUUAUGGAGAUUGUUGAUCAGGAAAAGCGAGUAAAGCAUUCAAAAAUUGCGGACAAUCUUGAGGCAGCUUUGGACUCAAAGAAAUAUCUCCUUGGUGGUAUGGAUUCUGAGCAGACGGAAAUGUGUUUCAGCCCAAUCAUACAAAGUGGUGAAACGUUUAGCCUCAAGUUCAGUGCAACAAGCAAUGACGAUCGUCUGGACUAUGGCGUGAUCAUAUGUACCUUUGGCGUACGCUAUAAAUAUUACUGCAGCAGCAUUAUCAGAACGAUGUUGGUGCAGCCGACGGAGGAGCAGCAAGAAAACUACAAUAUAUUACUGUCGACGCUCGACGCGGUUAUCGAGAAGUUAAAAGAUGGUGUUUUGCUAUCUGAUGUGUACAACGCUGCCUUGAAUCAUGUCAAAGAAAAGAAGUCUGAACUCCAGGGAAAUUUUGUGAAAAGUAUCGGUUUUGCAACUGGGAUUGAAUUCCGUGAAGGAUCUUUGAUGAUCAAUGCGAAGUCGAACCACAAGGCUCAAAAAGGCAUGGUUUUCUGCGCGAGUGUCGGUUUUUCCGGGUUGGUGAAAAAAAGCGAAGAUUCAAAAAAAGACAAACAAUAUGCGUUGUUCAUUGGGGACACGCUGCUGGUUAAUGAGAAUGGCCCAGCAACUUUGCUCACUCCGGCUAAAAAGAAGAUCAAUAAUAUUGGAAUAUUCUUAAAGGAUGAAGACGAACAAGAAGACUCGGAUAAUGUCGAUGAUGAAGAUUUGCUUCGAAGCGCCGAAGGAAAGUCUAAAUUGUUAGAAAACAGAACGAGGACAGAGUUGACUUCUGAGGACAAGCGAAAGGCUCAUCAGCAGGAACUGAGAGAACAACUACACGAGGAAGCCAAAAGACGGUUGCUCGAAGCUCAAGGAAAAGCACCCGAGAAAAAAAUUAAAGUGUCGAAUAUCGCGUACAAACACAACUCGCUUCUUCCGCGAGAGAAAGAAGUUCGCGAGUUAAAAAUAUUUGUUGAUAAAAAAUACGAAGCAAUCAUUUUACCAGUGUUUGGAAUCGCAACGCCUUUUCACAUCUCUACUGUCAAGAAUAUCAGCACGAGUGUCGAAGGAGACUACACAUAUCUUCGAAUAAACUUCUUUAGUCCCGGAAGCGCUUUGGCUCGACCUGACUUGAAUAACUUCGCCGAACCUGAUUCGACUUUCCUAAAGGAGGUGACAUAUCGUAGCUCGAUGCAAAGGACCUCGGGGCAAGCCGUCGCCUCGUCGGCAAAUCUCAACAACGCUUUUCGCUUCAUCAAAGAAGUGCAAAAGAAAUUCAAAACUCGCGAAGCGGAAGAAAAGGAAAAAGAGGGUAUCGUCAAACAAGACGCUUUGGUGAUUAACGCGAGCAAAAAUAACCCAAAAUUAAAAGAUCUUUAUACUCGACCGACGUUAGGGACAAGACGAAUACCGGGGACGUUAGAGGCGCACACGAAUGGUUUUCGUUUUCAAUCUGUUAACGGAGAACGAGUCGAUAUUUUGUACGGAAACAUUAAACACGCUUUCUUUCAGCCUUGUGAUCACGAAAUGAUUAUACUUAUACAUUUUCAUCUAAAAAACGCGAUUCUUAUUGGCAAAAAGAAGUAUCGCGAUAUACAAUACUAUACCGAGGUGGGAGAAAUAACCACGGAUUUGGGGAAAAACCAACAUAUGCACGACAGAGAUGAUUUACAAGCUGAGCAGGCUGAACGGGAACUUCGACAGCGGUUAAAAGCGGCGUUUAAAUAUUUUAUCGACCGAGUAGAAGGCAUUACACACGGUCAAGUUGAAUUCGACGUUCCUUUCAGAGAACUUGGGUUCGUUGGAGUUCCAUUCAGAAGCACAGUUCUACUCCAACCAACCACGCAUUGUCUGGUCAUGCUGACGGAACAGCCGGUCUUUGUAAUAACUCUGGAUGAAGUGGAACUAGUUCAUUUUGAAAGAGUUCAGUUUCAUCUGAAGAAUUUCGACAUGGUGUUCAUUUUCAAAGAAUACACGCGUAAAGUCGAACACGUGAACUCCAUUCCGAUGACAUCGUUGGACUCUGUUAAAGAGUGGUUAAAUUCGUGUGAUAUAAAAUAUACCGAAGGCGUGCAGAGCUUAAACUGGGCAAGAAUUAUGAAAACAAUCACGAACGACCCCCAGGAUUUCAUAGAAAAUGGUGGCUGGAGUUUCCUCGAACCUGACAGCAGUGAAGAAGAACAGGAAGACGAAGACGAUGAAGAGAGCGAGUACGCUCCGAGUGGUUCCGAUGCGGUCGAGGACGAAAGCGAGGAGAGUGAAUUGUCUGGGGAGACUGAAGAGAGCGAAGAGGACUCUGAAUUUGAAGAAGAGCUUGGAUCAGACGAGGAAAGUGGAAAGGAUUGGUCAGAACUGGAAGAAGAGGCGACAAAAGCCGACAAGGAAAGAGCGCCACCCGCUGAGGAAUCGAACUUGUCACGGAAACGAAAGAAAUCCGGACAGAAACAAGACACGCCGAACAAGAAAAAAAGACGCAAAUAAAAAAAUGCCAAAAAGGACAAAACUGUUGCGAGACGCAGGUAUUUGUAAAUACGGAACAAAUUAAACAAAACGCGCAUGGUCACAACUGGAUUUUUUUGUUAAAGCGUUUCUCUAGUUUCUCAGGAAACUUCAGGCAAUGGAACAAGUCGGGUCAGACAUUAUAGAUCAUUGUAGCUAGAGAAAUACGGGAGAAACUCAUUGUUCGACUUACGUAAAGUUUCAUAAAGAAUACAGAAAGAUUAUACAGCAGGCGGUCCUGGAGACGGAACCUUUUAGGUUGAUAUCGUAAUGCCAGUCAUUGUUCGUGUGUGGCGCUGCUGUUUCCGUUCACUACACUGUGUUUUUGUGCUAGUUUAUGGAGAUUUAUGCAGGAUAAAAAUGCUGUUCAUGCACGUCGCCUGUUCGGGCAGGUCGUCGUUACGUGUCGGAACAUUCGUCUCCAAAUAUGCAAUAUAUCAUCGUCUCAUUUGGUGCAUGCAUGGGGAAGACAAUAAAGCGUUGGCGUGUGUAGCCUUUGACAAGCAGUACAAGCAUAGGAUUAUGUAAACUCGGUUAGUUGCCUUGAACUUGCAAGGUGAAUUGCGGUAAAAUCCUCACUCGUGUUUACUUACACACAAAAACACUACACUCAACCUCUUGGCAUGAUACGGUUAUCCGUUACCAUGCAAUCACAUCCGCCGGUGUUCGACUUUGUACGAUAUGUACCCAUUUUAGGUAAGUGUAGUGUAGUGUUAUAGUUUUUAUAAAACAAACCGCAAAAUUCAACCUCAAGGCUCGAAAUCAUCGACUGAAAAAAGUGAUCGAAAUUUUGAACUAAUCACCAAUAAACAGCUGAAUUUUCGUGAAUUCUUAGAAAACUGUUCGGAUAAUCAAGUGUGAUCAGAUGAGAUGGUCUCUGCAUGAUCAGACCAUGUUUCAUCUGAAUUGGACGUCACCGAUGAUUGUACCGCAGCUGAGGUUAUAACUUAUAUAUACUAAAUAUGUGGAGAUAAAAAUAGAAAUGAUGGUGUUUUACACGUAUAACUAUACAUGUAAAACUCACCCACUCGUACGUAUUCGGAAGGGAAACGACCAUGCGGCAUGCGUCCUUCACGCAUGUUGCCUCACCAGUGGUAUCACCUAUUAAGAACAACUUGUUGAAAUUACAACUUAAUAUAUAUAUACGGAGACCACGCGGGGUUAAAAAUAAUGAUGGCUAAACCUAUUGUUCCCUGCAUGCAUGCAUGUGUUUAAAAUUCACCCACUCGCUUUGAAAUAGAAACCCCAUUACCUAUAUAUAUACGUAUGCAUGGUUUCAAAAUUUAGAUAUGUGCUUGUGCUUCACUUAUUUACAGUACACGUACUCGCAAAAGUACACGCACAUAUUUACCCACACGAGUUUUGCGCUGCAGGUAAAACAACUUAAUGAAUUUAAAAAACAUUAGCUGGUUCAUGCAAGUUUAUUAUCAUCCCAUAUAAACUCUGUCUUUAAAGUCGCCUGUAUUAUAAGCAGUAAGUUGGGGCCGGUUGUGUCAAGCCCGUUUAGCCUAAACGGUGGAUAAGUUCAAAAUAGAAAGCAAGUCUAUCGUUUUAUUCA
rnacentral:misc_RNA from 1 species